rnacentral:lncRNA from 1 species
GAGAAAAUCGGCAGUCUUGGUUGUUUGUUAAAGAAUGCUUCUAUUCCAUGGAGUCCUAUUGUAAUAGAGUUAGCCAAUGAUUGCCUUAAAUCGUACCAGAAGAAGGCAGACAUAAUUCAAGAUUGCUACAAAAUGAUUCCACUAAAACAUAUUUUCAAAAAAUAUUCCAUCAAAAGUAUUCUGACCUCACCAAGAGAGCUGAGAAAAUGUGUCAAAUACAUUUUCAAAGAAGGUUUAGAUUCCAGAUUAGAAGAUGCCUUGCAGUUGGUUGAGGGACAAGAAGAUAGCCUAAAGAUGUUACCAUAUUAUCUUUACAUAGACAGUUUAAUUCAAUCAAAAAAAUAUGAAGAAGUAGCAGAAUUUUUGUUUGAAAAGCAGUUGAUGAAACUGUGUUAGACCAAUGUUGUCGAUACAUUAUUCUAAGAUUCUCAACCCAUUUGGACUCCGGUGCUCAUGAAAUUAUAGACGCUGUCAUCAAAAUACUCCAAAAUUCGAAAGAAAAAUUAGAAAAGACAAAUGCAGCCGCAGGCAUGAAUGGUUUCAACAAUUACAUAGAGAAAGCCCUGGUUUGCAAAAGUAUUAGUACAAUGAAGAGUGACUAUAAUUUUGAAGUUGAACUAAGUAGAUUACACGAAGACAGUUUGCGCAAAUUAGUCAUUCAGGAUUUUUAUAAAUCUAAUUUCAAAGAUCUGAAUAAAACUGAGGAGUUUGUGAAUGUUUGCAAAGGUUGCAUUCCCAAAAUUGUCAGUCUCGUAAACUUACCUCCUGAGGAUGUCAUAUUGUAUCUAGCAGAAUAUGCUUUAUGCCUCAAUGACUUCAGUUCAGCCGCCAUGAUCAUGAGUUUAUUGAGGAAGGAUGUUGAAGAAUUAUCUGCACAAAGCUCUACUGUAGCUGUAAAAUUAUUAUCUUAUCUGAUGGAACACCAGUCUUGUCAUUUUGAUUCUAGUCUCACCUCUGUCAACUUAAUUGUGAAGUCCUUAGCAACCCGGAGCAUUGCUAGCUGCAACAUCUGUAAGUAUUCUGCCUUCCUUUCAUAUUAUGUAUAUAUUGACUCUUAAAAUUAUAAUUAGCAGUUAUCAGGUCACGUUUAUCAUAAACAGAAAACAUGGCUAAAAAUGACAAAUAAAAAACCAAAACGUUUCAACUGACUACUCAGCACUCAGCCACUCCACUCUCUAUCAAAAUGAAAAACAAACCAAAGUAAAUAGAAAUAGCGAUAGGGAGACCAAUUGCAGCUCCUGCUAGGUUGUCGAUUGAUGCAAUGACUUUAGGGUUAUGGUUAUUCCCACUCAGUAAGAAUUUUUCAUUGAAAAUUGAGCAACUGGAUCUAAGUUCUGCACCUUUGUGGAAAGUACAUACUGGAUAUCAGUUGAGCAUUAUGAAAGUAUAUAACCCCCACACGGUGGGUUUUAAACACUUUUAAAGUCCACGCUGUCAUAUGUCGUGUGGCCUUAUUUUUGCAACAAAACUAAGAAAGGUAUAGGUUUUCUCAGCGAACAAUCAAAUGAGUCUGUGAACUAUGAUUUUUUACAAACUUGGUCAAGAUAUAAGGUUCCGAAGACCCAUCCAAAUUACUCUUCCCGGCAACAUUUGUUCCUUGUUUUAAUCUAUUUUUUUCUGAUGAGAUGAUCUAUUUUUACCUUAUCAUUAUUUUUGUUAUACUUAUUUUAUUUUUUUUUACUAAGAAGAUGAUUUAGUAAUCGAGGAUGACGGAUGUGUACUUUUUGUUAAAUUCAUCUGUUUCAAAUAAAAUGUUUCUUUUUCCUGUAAAACCAAUCAAAACUUGUCAUUAAUUUCUAUAUUUUAGAAACUUUCAUGCUGUGACUUUGAUAAUUAUAAAAAUUUGGAUCUUUACAAGUAUAUGCCAAGUAUUUAAAAGUAUUUUUGAGUAAAAUCCGUCCUCUUAUUCUCAGCACUACCGAGAAACCGCCCGGCAAGACGUCAAUCCAUACGGUUGUGGAUGGGAAGGAUGGAAUCGGGGGGGGGGGGGGCGUAGAGGAGUAGGUGCCUUUUAAUGUUUAAAUUACAUUGAGAUGUGUUAAGUACAUUUUCAGGCUCUACCCCCAGUUCAUUUCAAAUGUUUUAGCAAUUCAGCCCAGAGUGUCCUAAAAAACGCGAGAGGACCCCCAAAAAACCCGAAAAACAUGUAUAGGAGUUGCAUUUAUAGGUCACUAAAACAAUCUAACUUGACUUUUUGAGCGCCUUGACCCGAAAUACCCGCCAAAAAAGCGGAAAAUUCUCAUUUUCUCAUAUUCGGCCAAACUACAUAUUUCGCGGUUUGUUGUUCCUCAACCAGUAGGCCUUCUAGUUGACAUUCCCGCCAAAAAAUCGCGGGUGGGAUGUUGACCGCAUUAGAAGUGUU